CCUACGGGAGGCAGCAGUGGGGAAUCUUGCGCAAUGGGCGAAAGCCUGACGCAGCCAUGCCGCGUGAAUGAUGAAGGUCUUAGGAUUGUAAAAUUCUUUCACCGGGGACGAUAAUGACGGUACCCCGGAGAAGAAGCCCCGGCUAACUUCGUGCCAGCAGCCGCGGUAAUACGAAGGGGGCUAGCGUUGCUCGGAAUUACUGGGCGUAAAGGGAGCGUAGGCGGAUAGUUUAGUCAGAGGUGAAAGCCCAGGGCUCAACCUUGGAAUUGCCUUUGAUACUGGCUAUCUUGAGUAUGGGAGAGGUUAGCGGAACUCCGAGUGUAGAGGUGAAAUUCGUAGAUAUUCGGAAGAACACCAGUGGCGAAGGCGGCUAACUGGCCCAUUACUGACGCUGAGGCUCGAAAGCGUGGGGAGCAAACAGGAUUAGAUACCCUGGUAGUCCACGCCGUAAACGAUGAGUGCUAGUUGUCGGCAUGCAUGCAUGUCGGUGACGCAGACUACGACAUAA
rnacentral:rRNA from 1 species